rnacentral:lncRNA from 1 species
CUAACCCCAAACACCCUCAAGCCUAUAGGAAUUUCCAGGUGCCCAGAACAAGUCACUGUGACUCUGAGGGGUUUUAUGGCCUGGGGUUCCAAGCAGAUGACACUCAUCCUGGUGGUCUCUCAAUUGCCAUCCUGAGAAAUCAUAAGCACCAAAUCCUCCAUUCCCUCCGAAUUUGAAUUUGUGGUUUUAACCUUUAAUAGCCUUUUUGGGUAAAAUAACAAAGACGAACGAAUUUACUGACUUUGUAGCUACACUGUUCUUGAAAAGGCUCUUUUUUUAGCAAAGGCCAAAAGGAAGAAGAAGAGAAGUGGUAUGUGGUAUAUGCUCGUCAGGUGGUGCACAUUCUGAUGAAAUCAAAUCAAAAGCUAUAGAGGAAUGAAGAAGGAGAGCCAACUUGCCCCAUCCUUUCAUGGCACUGUAGCUCAAAGACUGGAAUCUGCUUGUUAACCAUUGUUAACUAGUAUUUUUAGUCCCGGUUGCUUUUAGCCUCUGUAUAGUUCCUUUUUUAAACACAUUUUCUAUACGUUAAUAAAAGAUCCUGAAGG